rnacentral:lncRNA from 1 species
AAAAAAAAAGAAAAAAAGAAAAAAAAAAGGAAAUCACAAUUCGGUAACUUGACCGGGCAUCCAUCUCAGAUCUUCCUCUCUCACACCAUGGACCGCCUCACUUGGAAGGCCAAGAGCUGUGGUGCUUUUCCAACUUCCACCUUUUAUAAAUUCUUGAGUCUUAAAGGUAUCACAUACUGCUUUGUGCUAACCCUUUGUAGCCUCAACAUUCCCCUCAAACUUAAAUUUUUUCUUUGGCUCGCUUAGAGGAAAAGGCUUAACAUGAGGGGCUUGCUUGGAAAGAAAUUUGGUAAGAAUCUUAAGCUUUGUGCAAACUGUGGACAAGCUUCUAAAGAGUAAUUCUUUGUGCACUGCAUGCAGUACAAUAUUAUUGUACCGUUCAAUAAUAUUUGGGUACGUAGCGCAUUCAGAUGGGAUA